UUUUUUUUUUGAAGAAGCCAAAAUGAUAUAUAUUAACACUAACAGCCUCCCCAGCACAAGGCGUACCAAGGUAGACUAUAAAAAUACAAGAGAGUUAGAGAGAUACAAUCAAAGUAAAAUCAUACAAGGUCCAAACACAACAAUGGACUAGACCACCAGCUAUGGUAGUUUAAAGCUAACGUGAUGUUCGUCGUCUUCAACCACCUAAAAGAGAAAAGCUUGAUCUUGUCCAAUAAAAUAUGAGGUG
rnacentral:lncRNA from 1 species